rnacentral:rRNA from 1 species
CACGUGGAUAAUCUACCCUAAGGUGGAGGAUAACCUCGGGAAACUGAGAAUAAUACUCCAUAAGUCUAGGAUACUGGAAUGUACUUAGGCUGAAAACUUCGGUGCCUUACGAUGAGUCUGCGGACUAUCAGGUUGUAGUCAGGGUAAAGACCUGACUAGCCUACAACGGAUACGGGUUGUGAGAGCAAUAACCCGGAGAUGAUAUCUGAUACACGAUAUCAGGCCCUACGGGGCGCAGCAGGCGCGAAAACUUCACACUGCGCGAAAGCGCGAUGAGGGAAUCCCAAGUGCUUGCACGUAAGUGUAAGCUGUUUCUAUGUCUAAAACGCAUAGAGAGUAAGAACUGGGUAAUACGGGUGCCAACCGCCGCGGUAAUACCUGCAGCUCAAGUGGUGG